rnacentral:antisense_RNA from 1 species
GCUUCCUCACCGGGUGUCGACCGGUGGUAAGCGAGCGUCUCACCGGUUGCCGCCAGUGGGACGCUCUUUUUUGUUCAAUU